GACGAACGCUGGCGGCGUGCUUAACACAUGCAAGUCGAACGGAAAGGCCCUGCUUUCAGUGUACUCGAGUGGCGAACGGGUGAGUAACACGUGGGUGAUCUGCCCUGCACUUCGGGAUAAGCCUGGUAAACUGGGUCUAGUACCUGAUAGGAGCCAUUUUUAGUGUGAUGGUUGGAAAGUUUUUUCGGUGUAGGAUGAGCUCGCUGCCUAUCAGCUUGUUGGUGGGGUAAUGGCCUACCAAGGCGGCGACGGGUAGCCGGCCUGAGAGGGUGGACGGCCACAUUGGGACUGAGAUACGGCCCAGACUCCUACGGGAGGCAGCAGUGGGGAAUAUUGCACAAUGGGCGCAAGCCUGAUGCAGAGACGCCGCGUGGGGGAUGACGGCCUUCGGGUUGUAAACUACUUUCGCUAGGGACGAAGCUUUUUGUGACGGUACCUAGAUAAGAAGCCCCGGCUAACUACGUG
rnacentral:rRNA from 1 species